rnacentral:rRNA from 1 species
UACAGAGGGUGCUAGCGUUGUUCGGAAUCAUUGGGCGUAAAGGGCGUGUAGGCGGUUUGUUAAGUCAUGUGUGAAAUCCCUCGGCUCAACCGGGGAACGACGCAUGAAACUGGCAAGCUAGAGUACCAAAGAGGGGGGUGGAAUUCCCGGUGUAGCGGUGAAAUGCGUAGAUAUGGGAGGAACACCUGUGGCGAAGGCGGCCCCCUGGUUGGAUACUGACGCUGAUACGCGAAAGCGUGGGGAGCAAACAGG